GGGUUUUGGGGAACGGGUUGCCGCUGCGUCUGCCUUUAUAAGAGUAAUAAUAGACGACAGACACUCAAAGAAGAGGUUAGGGACUGAGGAGCCGCGGGUCUUGACUGCUUUGCUUCUUUCCGAGUUUGUUUGUUUGUAGAUAGACUAUUCUCUUCUGGAUGAUAGAUCAGAUGCUGAGCCUGAAAGUUUGAAACUAUUUAUAUGUUUGCUAAUAAUUCUAGAAAGUAGUUCUUUGGGAUUCAAAGAGCUUCCUAUGGCUUCUCUGCCUAAUAUUGCAAUUCCUCGUUCCUCCGACUGCUCUGUGGUAUCUCAAGUGAAUUGAGGAAUCUAUCGUUGGGCAAAACUGAACGUUUUUGGCGCACGAAAAUUGGAGCUUGGCGCUGGAGUGUGAGUUUUCCUCUUGGAUGCUUUAGUAAAGUAUGGUUUCUUGCAAAUUGAUAGUGCAUAAUUAUUGUGUA